rnacentral:rRNA from 1 species
UGCCUAACACAUGCAAGUCGAGCGGUAAGGCUCCUUCGGGAGUACACGAGCGGCGAACGGGUGAGUAACACGUGAGCAAUCUGCCCUUCUCAUCGGAAUAACCAUUGGAAACGAUGGCUAAUGCCGAAUAUGACUUCGAACCGCAUGGUCUGAAGUGGAAAGCUCCGGCGGAGAAGGAUGAGCUCGCGGCCUAUCAGCUUGUUGGUGAGGUAAUGGCUCACCAAGGCAUUGACGGGUAGCCGGCCUGAGAGGGUGACCGGCCACACUGGGACUGAGACACGGCCCAGACUCCUACGGGAGGCAGCAGUGGGGAAUAUUGGACAAUGGGCGAAAGCCUGAUCCAGCAACGCCGCGUGAGGGAUGACGGCCUUCGGGUUGUAAACCUCUUUCAGCAGGGACGAAGCGAAAGUGACGGUACCUGCAGAAGAAGGACCGGCCAACUACGUGCCAGCAGCCGCGGUAAUACGUAGGGCGCAAGCGUUGUCCGGAAUUAUUGGGCGUAAAGAGCUCGUAGGCGGCUUGUCACGUCGGCUGUGAAAGCCCGGGGCUUAACCCCGGGUCUGCAGUCGAUACGGGCAGGCUAGAGUGUGGUAGGGGAGAUCGGAAUUCCUGGUGUAGCGGUGAAAUGCGCAGAUAUCAGGAGGAACACCGGUGGCGAAGGCGGGUCUCUGGGCCAUUACUGACGCUGAGGAGCGAAAGCGUGGGGAGCGAACAGGAUUAGAUACCCUGGUAGUCCACGCCGUANACGGUGGGAACUAGGUGUUGGCGACAUUCCACGUCGUCGGUGCCGCAGCUAACGCAUUAAGUUCCCCGCCUGGGGAGUACGGCCGCAAGGCUAAAACUC